rnacentral:rRNA from 1 species
GAUGAACGCUGGCGGCGUGCCUAAUACAUGCAAGUCGAGCGAACAGACGAGGAGCUUGCUCCUCUGACGUUAGCGGCGGACGGGUGAGUAACACGUGGAUAACCUACCUAUAAGACUGGGAUAACUUCGGGAAACCGGAGCUAAUACCGGAUAAUAUAUUGAACCGCAUGGUUCAAUAGUGAAAGACGGUUUUGCUGUCACUUAUAGAUGGAUCCGCGCCGCAUUAGCUAGUUGGUAAGGUAACGGCUUACCAAGGCAACGAUGCGUAGCCGACCUGAGAGGGUGAUCGGCGACACUGGAACUGAGACACGGUCCAGACUCCUACGGGAGGCAGCAGUAGGGAAUCGUCCGCAAUGGGCGAAAGCCUGACGGAGCAACGCCGCGUGAGUGAUGAAGGUCUUCGGAUCGUAAAACUCUGUUAUUAGGGAAGAACAAAUGUGUAAGUAACUAUGCACGUCUUGACGGUACCUAAUCAGAAAGCCACGGCUAACUACGUG